ACAACAACAGUUGUAGGUACAGGUAAAGUGAUACUUGGAUUUUAUUCUUCUUCUUCUUCUUCUUCUUCUUCUUCGAUUUAGGAUGGAUUCCAGACCAGCAGCUUGGGAUAGCAAAGAUGGACGUCGUUCUUUUAACGUUUGAUUUCAUCCUUAGUUAGACCUUGCUCUUAUACAUGGUGGUUGAAUGCAUUGUUGUAUUGAGAUGUUCAUGCCAUAGCUUGUGGCGACAAGAUGCGUUUCUAUUCGUGUCGAGGCCCUCAUACCAAAAUAAGGAUAGGAUCUCAUCUUGGGCGUUAAAAUACAUCUAUGGACGUUCUGUUAGGUUUACCUCGAACAAAGAAGGGGAUGGAUAGAAUAUUUGUUGUCGUGGAUAGAUUUUCAAAAAUGGCACAAUUUACACCAUGUCAGAAAGGUGAUGAUGUUGCUAAUGUUGCUGGUGCUUUCCUAAAAUUAUUCGCUUGCAUAGUGUGCCAAAUAUUAUUGUAUAAGAUCAUGAUGCUUAAUUUUUGAGCCACUUUUGGAGAUGUUUAUGGGUUAUGUUGCGGAGUAAACUGCUUUUUAGUACUACAUAUGACCCCAAACUUAUGGACAAAGGGAAGUAGUCAAUAGAUCAUUGUCUACUAUUCUUAGGGUUGUUUUGAAGAAUAUCUUGAAAAUGAGGGAAGAGUACUUGCCUCAUAUUGAAAUUUUCUUAUGAUCGUUCAUUGCAUUCUACUACUAAGAUGUGUCCUUUUGAAAUUGUGUAUAGUUUCAUACCACAUGCACCUAUUGAUUUAUUGCCCCUUCCAUCUUCGGAGAAGGUUAAUUUUGAUGCUAAACAACAUGCUGAAUUGAUCUUCAAAAUGUAUGAGGUAACUAAGGAAAACAUUGAGCAUAUGAAUGUUAAAUACAAACUUGCUGGAGAUAAGGGUAGAAAACUUGUUGUCUUUGCACGUGGAGAUCUUGUUUUGUUACAUUUGCGUAAUAAUAGAUUUCCUAAUUUGCGCAAGUCAAAGCCAAUGCCACGUGUUGAUGGUACUUUUAAGGUGUUAUAGAAAAUGAAUGAUAAUACAUAUAAACUUGAGCUUCCUACAGAGUAUGGGGUUAGUCCCACUUUUAACAUUGCUGAUUUGAAGCCUCAUAUUGGUGUGGAAGAUGAGCUUUCGUCGAGGACGACUUCAUUUUUAUAAGGGGAGUAUGAUGAGGACAUCAAUACCAUUGUUACACCCACAUCCCCUGCUUCUAUACAUAAUAGGUCGAUUACUAGUGCUUGCACAUGCCAAUUCAAUUAGCAGGACCUAGCAUGGACAAGAAGGUUGGUCGUUGGAGUGGGAUCAAGCAUGGAGAAGAAGGUCCGCAUGCGGGAGAUAACAAUGGCGUUUCCAGUGGUGAUUUUCACACUUUAUAGCCACUAUAAGGAGACCAUGAAUGCUUGGACAAAAUAUACAAGAUGCCACUGCAUAAACUUCAUCCAUAUGAUAUUAUAGGUGUUGUGUCACCUUAUUUUUGUAUAGGUCCAUGCAAUUUCGAAAUACUACAUUAUAGGCUCUUUUUUAGAGUUUGUAUGUGUUUGGAAACUGGGUUAGGUUUGAUUUUGGACCCCUGCUCCGAGGGGUCAUGAAAUUCCCCAUGCAUUCCCCAAUAUAUACAUCCCUUAGGGCACCGUUUAGACCUGGGCUUUGUUUAGAUUACAAGUGCUCCUAGCUGGAACUUCGUGUCCUUUUUUGUGUUCUACGACCAGGCCAAGACGUCAAAGAACCCCACUUCCAUCAAUAAAGCUUUCCUCUUACAUUUA